GAUGAACGCUAGCUACAGGCUUAACACAUGCAAGUCGAGGGGCAGCAUGAACUUAGCUUGCUAAGUUUGAUGGCGACCGGCGCACGGGUGAGUAACACGUAUCCAACCUGCCGUUGACUCGGGGAUAGCCUUUCGAAAGAAAGAUUAAUACCCGAUGGCAUAGUUCUUCCGCAUGGUAGAACUAUUAAAGAAUUUCGGUCAUCGAUGGGGAUGCGUUCCAUUAGGUUGUUGGCGGGGUAACGGCCCACCAUGCCUUCGAUGGAUAGGGGUUCGGAGAGGAAGGUCCCCCAGAUUGGAACUGGGCACCGGGCCAAACUCCUACGGGAGGCAGCAGUGAGGAAGAUAGGUCAAUGGACGAGAGUCUGAACCAGCCAAGUAGCGUGAAGGAAGACUGCCCUAUGGGUGGUAAACUUCUUUUAGACGGGAAUAAAGUGAGGCACGUGUGCCUUUUUGUAUGUACCGUAUGAAUAAGGACCGGCUAACUCCGUG
rnacentral:rRNA from 1 species